AUGCGCGAGAUCUUCGCACACGUGGCGCCGGGCGUUCUCGACCUCGUACGCUGCGCAGGCAUGUGCACACGCUGGUUUCGCCUCAUCAGCUGCUCGGCCUUCCUCCGGCGCGUCGGCAUCUCGUCGGAGAACGCGCGCCACCGGUCCUCCUUCCUCCUUGGUGCCUUCUACAUAUCGCAAGCGACACCCGUGAAAAUACCCAAGCUGGGCAAGAAAAGGAAAUCCGACGACCCUCCGCGGUUCUUCAGACUUCGUACGCAGCAGACAGGCGGCGACCGCCUCACCUUCACCACGUUCAUCCCCAACAAGAAUGGAAUCUUCAACUAUGCGUGGCCCCUGGCGGCGCAUCGCGGCCUUCUCCUGGUGGAACGCUUGACCCAUGACUGGCGGAAGCUCCAUCUGGCCGUGUGCCAUCCCCUGAUUGGCGAGGGGAGCACGCGUCUACUCCCACCGCCUCCGCAGGAUCUGGACCCCAUGAACGUCGGGUAUCAUAUGACUGGCUAG
rnacentral:rRNA from 1 species